UACGGGGGGGGCAAGCGUUGUUCGGAAUUACUGGGCGUAAAGGGCGCGUAGGCGGCCUUCUAAGUCGGACGUGAAAUCCCGCGGCUUAACCGAGGAACUGCGUCCGAUACUGAAAGGCUUGAAUCCGGGAGAGGGAUGUGGAAUUCCAGGUGUAGCGGUGAAAUGCGUAGAUAUCUGGAGGAACACCGGUGGCGAAGGCGGCAUCCUGGACCGGCAUUGACGCUGAGGCGCGAAAGCUAGGGGAGCAAACGGG
rnacentral:rRNA from 1 species